AGAGUUUGAUCCUGGCUCAGAUUGAACGCUGGCGGCAUGCCUUACACAUGCAAGUCGAACGGCAGCACGGGAGCAAUCCUGGUGGCGAGUGGCGAACGGGUGAGUAAUAUAUCGGAACGUGCCCAGUCGUGGGGGAUAACGUAGCGAAAGCUACGCUAAUACCGCAUACGAUCUAAGGAUGAAAGCGGGGGAUCGCAAGACCUCGCGCGAUUGGAGCGGCCGAUAUCAGAUUAGCUAGUUGGUGGGGUAAAGGCCCACCAAGGCGACGAUCUGUAGCUGGUCUGAGAGGACGACCAGCCACACUGGAACUGAGACACGGUCCAGACUCCUACGGGAGGCAGCAGUGGGGAAUUUUGGACAAUGGGCGCAAGCCUGAUCCAGCAAUGCCGCGUGCAGGACGAAGGCCUUCGGGUUGUAAACUGCUUUUGUACGGAACGAAAA
rnacentral:rRNA from 1 species